GAUGAACGCUGGCGGCGUGCUUAAUACAUGCAAGUCGAGCGAACGGACGAGAAGCUUGCUUCUCUGAUGUUAGCGGCGGACGGGUGAGUAACACGUGGAUAACCUACCUAUAAGACUGGGAUAACUUCGGGAAACCGGAGCUAAUACCGGAUAAUAUUUUGAACCGCAUGGUUCAAAAGUGAAAGACGGUCUUGCUGUCACUUAUAGAUGGAUCCGCGCUGCAUUAGCUAGUUGGUAAGGUAACGGCUUACCAAGGCGACGAUGCGUAGCCGACCUGAGAGGGUGAUCGGCCACACUGGAACUGAGACACGGUCCAGACUCCUACGGGAGGCAGCAGUAGGGAAUCUUCCGCAAUGGGCGAAAGCCUGACGGAGCAACGCCGCGUGAGUGAUGAAGGUCUUCGGAUCGUAAAACUCUGUUAUUAGGGAAGAACAAAUGUGUAAGUAACUAUGCACGUCUUGACGGUACCUAAUCAGAAAGCCACGGCUAACUACGUGCCAGCAGCCGCGGUAAUACGUAGGUGGCAAGCGUUAUCCGGAAUUAUUGGGCGUAAAGCGCGCGUAGGCGGUUUUUUAAGUCUGAUGUGAAAGCCCACGGCUCAACCGUGGAGGGUCAUUGGAAACUGGAAAACUUGAGUGCAGAAGAGGAAAGUGGAAUUCCAUGUGUAGCGGUGAAAUGCGCAGAGAUAUGGAGGAACACCAGUGGCGAAGGCGACUUUCUGGUCUGUAACUGACGCUGAUGUGCGAAAGCGUGGGGAUCAAACAGGAUUAGAUACCCUGGUAGUCCACGCCGUAAACGAUGAGUGCUAAGUGUUAGGGGGUUUCCGCCCCUUAGUGCUGCAGCUAACGCAUUAAGCACUCCGCCUGGGGAGUACGACCGCAAGGUUGAAACUCAAAGGAAUUGACGGGGACCCGCACAAGCGGUGGAGCAUGUGGUUUAAUUCGAAGCAACGCGAAGAACCUUACCAAAUCUUGACAUCCUCUGACCCCUCUAGAGAUAGAGUUUUCCCCUUCGGGGGACAGAGUAACAGGUGGUGCAUGGUUGUCGUCAGCUCGUGUCGUGAGAUGUUGGGUUAAGUCCCGCAACGAGCGCAACCCUUAAGCUUAGUUGCCAUCAUUAAGUUGGGCACUCUAAGUUGACUGCCGGUGACAAACCGGAGGAAGGUGGGGAUGACGUCAAAUCAUCAUGCCCCUUAUGAUUUGGGCUACACACGUGCUACAAUGGACAAUACAAAGGGCAGCGAAACCGCGAGGUCAAGCAAAUCCCAUAAAGUUGUUCUCAGUUCGGAUUGUAGUCUGCAACUCGACUAUAUGAAGCUGGAAUCGCUAGUAAUCGUAGAUCAGCAUGCUACGGUGAAUACGUUCCCGGGUCU
rnacentral:rRNA from 1 species